UGGAAUUCUUGAGUGAGUUGUUCAAGGCGAGGACGUAGCCGGGUUGGCUGAACCUCAUAAAAUCGUGGUCCUUUGGGUAGCUGAAACUAGCAUCCUAGCGUUCGGGAGCGUGGGUGUCGAUUAGCUACGUAGAGUGCUUGAGUAAGUACUGAUUUUUGUAACCGGGUUGUCAUUGUUGGGUUUUGUAGACACCUGGGGUAUGUACUGUAUUUUGGAGCAUAGACUCUAGUCAUGUAUAGACUCUGAUAUGGUUCGAUGUAUGGAUUAGAAAGAAUAUUUUCGC